AUUGAACGCUGGCGGCAGGCCUAAUACAUGCAAGUCGUGCGAGCGGCGGACGGGUGAGUAAUGCCUGGGAAACUGCCUGAUGGAGGGGGAUAACUACUGGAAACGGUAGCUAAUACCGCAUACCAUCAGAUGUGCCCAGAUGGGAUUAGCUGGUAGGUUGGGUAACGGCUCACCUAGGCGACGAUCCCUAGCUGGUCUGGGAGGAUGACCAGCCACACUGGAACUGGUACACGGUCCGGAAUCCUACGGGAGGCAGCGGUGGGGAAUAUUGCACAAUGGACGCAAGCCUGAUACAGCAAUGCCGCGUGUAUGAAGAAGGCCUUCGGGUUGUAAAGCACUUUCAGCGGGGAGGCGUUACCCGCAGAAGAAGCACCGGCUAACUCCGUGCCAGCAGCCGCGGUAAUAC
rnacentral:rRNA from 1 species